AUACAUAGGGGGCAAGCGUUAUCCGGAAUUAUUGGGCGUAAAGCGUGCGUAGGCGGUUUAUUAAGUCUGGUGUGAAAUUUUACAGCUUAACUGUAAAGGGUCAUUGGAAACUGGUAAACUUGAGUACGGUAGGGGCAAGUGGAAUUCCAAGUGGAGCGGUGGAAUGCGUAGAUAUUUGGAGGAACACCAGUAGCGAAGGCGGCUUGCUGGGCCGGAACUGACGCUGAGGCACGAGAGCGUGGGGAGCAAACAGGAUUAGAUACCCUGGUAGUCCACGCUGUAAACGAUGGGUAUUAAGUGUCGGACAUAAGUUCGGUGCUGUCGUUAACACAAUAAAUACUCCGCCUGGGGAGUACGGUCGCAAGACUGAA
rnacentral:rRNA from 1 species